CACUUAUUCGUUGGACAACUUAAUAAAAUUAUCGAAAGAAUCACGACCAAAUUUUUACGAUCACUAAAUUACAGAAGAAAAAUUACGUAUAUGUUUAUAGGAAUCCAAAAAUAUUAACACUACUGUAUCUUAAAAUAAAUUAUAUUACUCCUUAAUUUUAAUUAGCUAUUCGUAUACUGGGCACAACUAGUUUUGAUUCUUGUCAUUUUUAAGUGACUAUAGGUAAGCUAAGAAUAAGUUAAGCUAUCGACUAUAAUGGAAUAUUUUCAUACUAAAGCCUUUACAUUACGUAUAUAGGUUUGUGGUGUGACGUCAACGUUAUGGACGUGAUCUCUAAAAUACGCACAAAUAUUAUUAAUUGGUAUUUUUUUUCAGAGUUCUCAUUUAAUGAAAUAAUUUAUUAAGAUAUAAACUUUCCUUUACAUCACUUAUAUUUAUUUUUUUGAAUCAUUUAAUUUUUAAUUGAUUUUUAUUCAAUCAAUUAUUUUAACGUUGCGUCACACCAGUACUUUUUGUAAUCUUCCAUAUAGACACAAUUUUAAUAAAAUUCUGAACGUAUACAGACGUUGUACAUCAGUUUUUUUUUUAUAUUAAAUUCAUACUAAACUUACAAUUAUAUACAUAACAAACGUUGGUCAACACGUUACUGGUUGAAGAAUUUUCCAAAGAUCACACAAAAUACUAUAUGAGAGAUUAGGCGGAGCCUAAAACUUCGAAUAAUUUCAUAAACGAUCUUAAUAAUUCCACCAAUAAAUUACAUUAAUUAAUCGUACAGUUAACAUGAUACCAACAUUACUCACUUUGCCCCCCACUAUUUGGGUAUGAAUUAAACACUUUAUUGUUUUAAUUAAGAAAUAUUGUGGCAAGUCAUUGGUGAGCCCAAUGUUGAUUUGUACCUUUUUUUAACUUAUACUAAUUUUUGUUUAUUCUUGAAUAGAAAUCUUCUGCGCUAAACGCAAAAGUAUCGCAAAACUUGUAAGUCUCGCCAACACGCAGCUCGUGAAAUACAAACGUAAUCUGAUAGGUGAGAUUUAAGAACAUCUUAUUCGAAUACCGUCAUAGUGUAACCUAAGAGCUAUAGUUGCAUCGAUCCGACUGCGCGUUUUGGCAUAUAAACUGCGAUUCCGAAUGAGCGAUAGUGGGGCACAAUUCGCACGAUAAAUAAAAACACAAUUCCAUUUGAAGCUCGAGGCUGCGGCGCGGCGUGUCCCGUGUACCUCAGCAGGCGUUCAAGAUUUAUACAGGGAGAUGCGGAACAAUAUAUCACGGGGCAGAACAACGCGGGAACUCAACCUAUUCCUAGUGUGGAGCAGCCACCGUCCCGAUGGAACCGAUAGCGGAUCUACUAGUGGAUAUCGCCAAUUUAGCUUUUCCAUUCUCGCGCAAAACGCCCAUACACUGACAUGUAUAUCCGCAAUCCGUAGCUCGACCGACACUACGUUCACAUCAUUAGACGACUUCCCUAAAAUAUUGACACUAGUUAAUUAAUAUUAAUAGAAACAUCUAUUUAAUAACGAGUCGGUAUUAACAUAACGUAUGCGUACAUAACUCAAGCUAAGCGAUAAAUAAGCGGACAUCGAAACGUGUAUUUUUCAUACGAGCUUCAUAUAAUUUAUAGUCGACGAUGAUAUCGCGACUGGUUCUUUUAUUUGUGAAAUAGUGAUACGCGGAGUGUGCUCGGUCAACAAAAGUAAAGUCUCG
rnacentral:misc_RNA from 1 species